AAAGGAAGAAGUUUUAGAAGGGGAGGAACAAAAACAACCGCACAUAGGAGAAAAAGAGGGGGAAAGAGGCCACACAUCCAUCAGGAAGAGGAAGCAAAAGAGAUUUUGAAGGCUUGAAGUUGUAAGCCAUGCGCCUAGCCAAGUGUUUUUCAUGUCACUUCUUUCUUCCUAGAUCAGAGCAUUGGACCCAAACUUGUAGCAAUACAAUGAUAUGCGUUUUGUGGACCCUAUUUUACAAAGGUUUUGACUUUUGAAUGCAAACGAGGAGAGACUACUACACUUUGGAGGUUAAAUUGCCCACUCUUCAUGUGUAAUACUUAUUUCUCCUUAUAUAUAUCUUCUCAAACAUUAUGAGUAGAAAAAUUCCUAUUGAAUAGGGCAUAGAUGAACCUCCUUGAAUCUAUGUGAUUUUCUUUUUUAUAUACUAUUUUUGAAAUUAUAAAUUGUUUGAUUAUUCAUCUACUUUUGUUCUUAUAACUCUUUUGUGUUUGAUGACCA